CACGUAGGGCGCAAGCGUUGUCCGGAAUUAUUGGGCGUAAAGAGCUCGUAGGCGGUCUGUUACGUCUGCUGUGAAAACCCGGGGCUUAACCCUGGGCUUGCAGUGGAUACGGGCAGACUAGAGGCAGGUAGGGGAGAAUGGAAUUCCCGGUGUAGCGGUGAAAUGCGCAGACUAUCGGGAGGAACACCGGUGGCGAAGGCGGUUCUCUGGGCCUGACCUGACGCUGAGGAGCGAAAGCGUGGGGAGCGAACAGG
rnacentral:rRNA from 1 species